GCUUAAACUAAAUUAAAAUAUAUUUUAUUGAAUUAUGUUGAGCUAUCCCUUUCAAAAACGACAGUAUUUCUUUAAAACUAUAUUACGCAUGUUCCAAACAAUAGGUCAGUUGAUGGAUGUAUAGGUUAUCAGAUAUUCAAAAUUCCGAAAUUAGUGUAUUAUUUAUAAUUAAUUAAAUUAGAAAAUAAAUUCGUAUUGUUUUAUUUGUUUUGUUUUGUUUUAUUUUUGGCGCCCAACCGGCCGGGCCCAUUGUCCUAAACCCGACAAUUUUAACACGCUAUCAAUCGAAUAUUAAAAAUAAAUCUACUGGUCGAAAGGUGGAAUUUUUUUUGAACUAGGUAUUAUAUUUUUUAUAAUGGUUUCUCGACCAUCUAGG